rnacentral:rRNA from 1 species
GACGAACGCUGGCGGCGUGCUUAACACAUGCAAGUCGAACGGAAAGGCCCCUUUGGGGGUACUCGAGUGGCGAACGGGUGAGUAACACGUGAGUAACCUGCCCUUGACUUCGGGAUAACUUCAGGAAACUGGGGCUAAUACCGGAUAGGAAUCCUUGCUGCAUGGUGGGGGUUGGAAAGCUUCGGGGGUUUUGGAUGGACUCGCGGCUUAUCAGCUUGUUGGUGGGGUAGUGGCUUACCAAGGCUUUGACGGGUAGCCGGCCUGAGAGGGCGACCGGCCACCUUUGGACUGGGGUACGGCCCAGACUCCUACGGGGGGCAGCAGUGGGGAAUAUUGCAAAAUGGGCCGAAGCCUGAUGCAGCAACGCCGCGGGCGGGAUGACGGCCUUCGGGUUGUAAACCGCUUUCAGCAGGGGCGAAGCUUGUGGUGACGGUACCUGCAGAAGAAGCACCGGCUAACUACGUG